ACUUAAUCUCAGCCCAUUGGUUUAAUCAAAUUAAGCCAAUUAGCAAUCAAAUUGCUAAUCGAUCCUCCUGCAACACUUGCACCGGUUUAAAUGUCAAUCGUAUUGAUCAUUUAACCCUAGAAUGAUUCUUAAUCGUUGAUCAACCAUCCGAUCGGAUCAUGAACUCUAAUGUAUGUGAUCUCAUACAUCCGAACCUAAGUCGGUAGCAUAGAAAUAAAUUUUUGUACCAAUCAAAGUGACCAUCUAGCAAUGGUACCCGACGACCGGAUAGGUCGAAUGUGAAGAACUACAUCCUUAGAACCCAU
rnacentral:lncRNA from 1 species